rnacentral:rRNA from 1 species
GCCCUUAGAGUUUGAUCCUGGCUCAGAUUGAACGCUGGCGGCAUGCCUUACACAUGCAAGUCGAACGGUAACAGGUCUUCGGAUGCUGACGAGUGGCGAACGGGUGAGUAAUACAUCGGAACGUGCCCGAUCGUGGGGGAUAACGAGGCGAAAGCUUUGCUAAUACCGCAUACGAUCUACGGAUGAAAGCGGGGGAUCUUCGGACCUCGCGCGGACGGAGCGGCCGAUGGCAGAUUAGGUAGUUGGUGGGAUAAAAGCUUACCAAGCCGACGAUCUGUAGCUGGUCUGAGAGGAUGAUCAGCCACACUGGGACUGAGACACGGCCCAGACUCCUACGGGAGGCAGCAGUGGGGAAUUUUGGACAAUGGGCGAAAGCCUGAUCCAGCCAUGCCGCGUGCAGGAUGAAGGCCUUCGGGUUGUAAACUGCUUUUGUACGGAACGAAAAGCCUCUUUCUAAUAAAGAGGGGUCAUGACGGUACCGUAAGAAUAAGCACCGGCUAACUACGUGCCAGCAGCCGCGGUAAUACGUAGGGUGCAAGCGUUAAUCGGAAUUACUGGGCGUAAAGCGUGCGCAGGCGGUUUUGUAAGACAGAGG